rnacentral:misc_RNA from 1 species
AAUCAUCAAAACCUUCUCUUUGACCCUCUUUGGUCGGGAAAAGGAUUUUUGGACUUGGAGGUUCCAUGCUCGCCUUCACUUUUGAAAGCGAGCUCCUCUCAAAUGAAUUAGUGGGGUCCGCUUUGCUGGUCCUUGACGUGAUAAGAUGUUUCUACGUUUUGGAUUUAGCACUGUCCCUUGGAUGCCUGCUCCUAACCGUCUCACGGACAAUGAUGGUGCUCUGGUCACUGCCAUCUACAUUGGCGGGAGGCUGGACCCACAAAAGAAAA